GAUGAACGCUGGCGGCGUGCUUAACACAUGCAAGUCGAACGAAGCACUUUUAAUUCUUCGGAAGAGGAAGUGACUGAGUGGCGGACGGGUGAGUAACGCGUGGGUAACCUGCCUUAUACAGGGGGAUAACAGUUAGAAAUGACUGCUAAUACCGCAUAAGCCGAUAGAGUCGCAUGACUUAGUCGGAAAAGAUUUAUCAGUAUAAGAUGGACCCGCGUCUGAUUAGCUAGUUGGUGAGGUAAUGGCCCACCAAGGCGACGAUCAGUAGCCGGCUUGAGAGAGGGAACGGCCACAUUGGGACUGAGACACGGCCCAAACUCCUACGGGAGGCAGCAGUGGGGAAUAUUGCACAAUGGGGGAAACCCUGAUGCAGCAACGCCGCGUGAAGGAAGAAGUAUUUCGGUAUGUAAACUUCUAUCAGCAGGGAAGAAAAUGACGGUACCUGACUAAGAAGCCCCGGCUAACUACGUGCCAGCCGCCGCGGUAAUAC
rnacentral:rRNA from 1 species